AAUCAACGCUGGCGGCGUGCCUAACACAUGCAAGUCGCACGAGAAAGGGACUUCGGUCCUGAGUACAGUGGCGCACGGGUGAGUAACACGUGAAUCAUCUACCUUCGAGUGGGGAAUAACUGAGAGAAAUCUUAGCUAAUACCGCAUAAUACCUACGGGUCAAAGCAGCAAUGCGCUUGAAGAGGAGUUCGCGGCAGAUUAGUUAGUUGGCAGGGUAAUGGCCUACCAAGACGAUGAUCUGUAUCCGGCCUGAGAGGGCGCACGGACACACUGGAACUGAAACACGGUCCAGACUCCUACGGGAGGCAGCAGUGGGGAAUUUUGCGCAAUGGGGGAAACCCUGACGCAGCAACGCCGCGUGGAGGAUGAAAUCCCUUGGGAUGUAAACUCCUUUCGAUCGGGAAGAUAAUGACGGUACCGAGAGAAGAAGCCCCGGCUAACUUCGUGCCAGCAGCCGCCGUAAC
rnacentral:rRNA from 1 species